CAUCCUGUUUCCCUGACAGGGCACCGAGAGGCCUCCCCAGGCUGGCGGUGCUCCCCCAGGCAGCAGGCACCACACCUGGGGACAGGGACAGGCCACAACAUGGGCCCGUGGGUGUGGCAGGCAGCACAGAAUUGCAUCCAAACAACUUGCCCCAUGUCACACACCGUGCUGAGCACAAAGGCUGCAUCAUGCCUGAUUUACAGCACACACAGGAAACGACCAAAUAAUUUGGAAGUAUUGCAGAGUUGCUCUGUGCAAAAUUGGUUUGAAGUGAGGAGACUAGUUAUAGUUGCCUGGACUUCUGUUCGAUGUGUUGAUAUAAAAGAGGGGUAG
rnacentral:lncRNA from 1 species